rnacentral:rRNA from 1 species
CUUCCUGGUGGCGAGCGGCGGACGGGUGAGUAAUGCAUAGAAAUCUGCCCGGUAGUGGGGGAUAACCUGGGGAAACCCAGGCUAAUACCGCAUACGUCCUACGGGAGAAAGCAGGGGAUCUUCGGACCUUGCGCUAUCGGAUGAGUCUAUGUCGGAUUAGCUUGUUGGCGAGGUAAUGGCUCACCAAGGCGACGAUCCGUAGCUGGUCUGAGAGGAUGAUCAGCCACAUCGGGACUGAGACACGGCCCGAACUCCUACGGGAGGCAGCAGUGGGGAAUAUUGGACAAUGGGCGAAAGCCUGAUCCAGCCAUGCCGCGUGUGUGAAGAAGGCCUUCGGGUUGUAAAGCACUUUCAGUGGGGAAGAAAGCCUUGGGGCUAAUACCCUCGAGGAAGGACAUCACCCACAGAAGAAGCACCGGCUAACUCCGUGCCAGCAGCCGCGGUAAUACGGAGGGUGCGAGCGUUAAUCGGAAUUACUGGGCGUAAAGCGCGCGUAGGCGGUCUGAUAAGCCGGUUGUGAAAGCCCCGGGCUCAACCUGGGAACGGCAUCCGGAACUGUCAGGCUAGAGUGCAGGAGAGGAAGGUAGAAUUCCCGGUGUAGCGGUGAAAUGCGUAGAGAUCGGGAGGAAUACCAGUGGCGAAGGCGGCCUUCUGGACUGACACUGACGCUGAGGUGCGAAAGCGUGGGUAGCAAACAGGAUUAGAUACCCUGGUAGUCCACGCCGUAAACGAUGUCGACUAGCCGUUGGGCUCCUUGAGAGCUUUGUGGCGCAGUUAACGCGAUAAGUCGACCGCCUGGG